rnacentral:rRNA from 1 species
CCUACGGGAGGCAGCAGUGGGGAAUAUUGGACAAUGGGCGAAAGCCUGAUCCAGCCAUGCCGCGUGUGUGAAGAAGGCCUUCGGGUUGUAAAGCACUUUCAGUGGGGAAGAAAGCCUUGGGGCUAAUACCCUCGAGGAAGGACAUCACCCACAGAAGAAGCACCGGCUAACUCCGUGCCAGCAGCCGCGGUAAUACGGAGGGUGCGAGCGUUAAUCGGAAUUACUGGGCGUAAAGCGCGCGUAGGCGGUCUGAUAAGCCGGUUGUGAAAGCCCCGGGCUCAACCUGGGAACGGCAUCCGGAACUGUCAGGCUAGAGUGCAGGAGAGAAAGGUAGAAUUCCCGGUGUAGCGGUGAAAUGCGUAGAGAUCGGGAGGAAUACCAGUGGCGAAGGCGGCCUUCUGGACUGACACUGACGCUGAGGUGCGAAAGCGUGGGUAGCAAACAGGAUUAGAUACCCUGGUAGUC